GCUCAGUUGGUUAAGUGUCUGACUCUUGAUUUCAGCUCAGGUCAUGGCAGAGGAGGUGGUGGGGUCAAGCCCCACACUGGGCU
rnacentral:tRNA from 1 species